UACGUAGGGGGCUAGCGUUGUCCGGAAUCAUUGGGCGUAAAGGGCCAGUAGGCGGCCAACUAAGUCCGACGUGAAAUCCCAAGGCUUAACCUUGGAACUGCGUCGGAUACUGGAUGGCUUGAAUUCGGGAGAGGGAUGCAGAAUUCCAGGUGUAGCGGUGAAAUGCGUAGAUAUCUGGAGGAAUACCGGUGGCGAAGGCGGCAUCCUGGACCGACAUUGACGCUGAACGGCGAAAGCUAGGGGAGCAAACGGG
rnacentral:rRNA from 1 species